rnacentral:lncRNA from 1 species
CUCCAGGUUCUGAACCAGUGCUGUCUCAUCCUCCACAGAAACACGAACAUAUCGUGCAGGUCUGUCCCAGAGCCCCUCCUCGGAAGGCUCCUGGCCCAUGUGAGUGUCACACAUGCAGCCCCCUCUCACAUGACAGGAACUCCACACUGCAAUUAAGUUUUCAGCAGGUCCUCCCCCUGCAUCUGGAUUUCUCAGCAGAAAUCUCUCAGGAAACAAUGACACAGAACCAGGAUUCACAUACUGCCUUGGACUCCGUGGUGCCAGGCUGCAGAACACACUGCUGCUGUAAGAGCCAUACUAACUCCAGCUGCAAGUUUUGAUUAUAGGAAAAACAGCUAUUCCCACUUCAGACCAGUCACUCCUGAAAGAGCUCCUCAGCCCCAGCAUUCACCUGGAGGUGGUUGUGCAUACUCCAGAUGCAGUAACCUCAUAACCUCGCUGCUGCUCUGCUGCGGGCCCUGCACCGGGAGCAAAUUCCCACACAGAGACCAAGACACAUUAUUCUUACUUUUGGGUCAUAGCUACAUUAAUGAAAAGGACUGAAAUCCUUGGGUUUAGUGUCCUUGGCUGACUGAAUGAAGCCAAAUUCCCUGCAGGCUUCCUGCUUCUGCUGAACCACUGGCUCACGCUGUGCCCCAGUUUCUUUGCUUUUCCUGGGAGAAACAAGCCAGUUUUGGGUGUGAGGGCAAGAACCUCCCCUGCCACACCUUUCUUCUCUUCCAAGCCUACCCAAGAAUUAAAAGUUAACAGGAUAGAUAUUCUUUUGUCCUCCAAUAAAUGCUUUCCCCAGACAAAUCCA